UGAAAAUGGUUGUUGUUGUUGUUGUUGAUGAUGAUGUCUUUUCGUACAAUUCUUUCUUGUACAUACUGAAUAUAUUCACGAGUAUAAAUAUCAUCGAUAAAAGUUAGUAUUUUAGCAAUAUUUUAUGUUUCUAUUUUAUUUUCUUGUUAUGAUCUAAUGUAUGUACAAGUAUUAAUAUCUCCCGAUUUCAACAAUUUUUUUAUCUCUAAUCUACAAAUUAAAAAUGAGGAGAGCUAGUUUUGCUUCGAAAUGCACUAGCAGAUCAUAUAUGCAUUACGAAAUCACUUUAUG
rnacentral:lncRNA from 1 species